UACGUAGGGUGCGAGCGUUGUCCGGAAUUAUUGGGCGUAAAGAGCUUGUAGGCGGUUUGUCGCGUCUGCUGUGAAAAUCCGGGGCUCAACCCCGGACUUGCAGUGGGUACGGGCAGACUAGAGUGUGGUAGGGGAGACUGGAAUUCCUGGUGUAGCGGUGGAAUGCGCAGAUAUCAGGAGGAACACCAAUAGCGAAGGCAGCUCGCUGGGACGUUACUGACACUGAGGCGCGAAAGCGUGGGGAGCGAACAGG
rnacentral:rRNA from 1 species